ensembl:rRNA 5S_rRNA 5S ribosomal RNA
UCCAUUAUAUGCCUUAUCACCCUGUAGCCCAAGCCUGGUUGCCCACUGAAGCUAAGCAGGGCUGAGCCUGGUCAGUACCUGGAUGGGAGACCUCCUGGGAAAACUAGGUUGCUGCUGGAA